GAUAUUUCAUGGCGCGUGCGUGCUUUUCUUUAUGGAAAUAUAUCUGGAUACAUACAAUAUUGUACGCGUCCUUUUGAUCUGCCAGCUUUUCGAAAAUGAAGGCUCCACAGUGGUGUGUGUAACUGUAGGUCUGUAGCCUCCCUGUCGCGAAAGGCAUUGUUAUCUGCCUGUACAGAAACUGUAGCGUUAGGUCUUUGCGUUGCGUGAUGCCUUGCUUGAUUGACAAUUUGACGUGACGAGUACUACUGUGCUUGGCAGAUAAAGGUCAAUGACUGUUACUAUUACCUGAUUAUUACUGUAUUUACCAUCGGGAUGUAACUACCUGGCUCUCUGGAUCGUUCACGUACGUGCGGUUGACGCGUUGGCGCAGUGGCUGGCACGUCGGGAUCAAGGGAGGCGCGCGAGUACGCGCGGGCUGGCUGACGAGCUAGCGCACGUGGAACACGGGCGCAUCCUGGUCGUGGCCGGCCGGUACCACCCUAUUUCGCAUUCCCAGAGUAGUAGCCGGGCAUGUUUCCAUUUCCAGGAGGGGGCCGCCCGUCCGUGGAAGGACGAGGACGACGACCCCUUUUGAGUGCUGAAAAACCCUGCACAUCUUUCUUUCUUUUUUCUUUCUUUUCACAAGCGGGGAGAAAUGAAAGGCAUGCACAAGUAUUCUUGUCCCCUUUCAACGCCAGCAACACCCCUGCUCAUCAGCCCCUCCUCGCGUUAUGACAGGUGGGACCAAUAUCGUUCCUCGCAUCUCUCCGCACGCCACCAAUCUUCCUGCCGUGCCUCCUCUCUGUUGGCCUCUUGUAGUUCUACAAAGCAGGGGAGAGCAACAGCUCACGCAGGGGUGCUUGGGCCGGCGGAGGAGCUCCAUCCAUGCAGAUGAGCUUGGGCCCAGCGGAGGAGCACCUUCCCUGCAGAAGAGGUGGCCUCGCGAAGGACCUCCGUCGCGACGGAGGAGCUUGAGCCCAAGCGCCUCCGAUGCUCGUGACGGGGAAGGCGACGGAUCCAGGCUACCUCGGCCUCGCGUAGGAAGCCAACGACCUUAUCGAAACGAAGCUCGACCUGCAUCGAUUUGCCCAACCAAAGCUCGGGCGACGUCGAAUCGAAGAGCAGGCCAGUGACCUCGCCGGCCGCCGCGCGAGUCCUUGGCUAUCUACACGGUCCGUCUCCUCCUCGCUCCUCAACUCGAUUUGCGCCGCGGCCGGAUUUGCCACUCGAUUUGUUGGAAUUGAAUGGAUCUCGGGCUCGAUUUGCCGCUGCCUGGGCAUGGUGCGGCGGAGGGGAGAUGCUGCGUGUGGAGGAGUUGCGGCAGAGGAGCGACACCACCACCACCGAAGGGGUCGGAGCGACGCAGGAACACCGGUGCGUGGAGGCGACGAGCAGGUUGCGCGGGAGGUGAAACGGAAGAAACGGCCGAGUAGGGGCCUCCCUACGCACCCGUACAGCAAAGGAUCCGAGUAGAGACCUGGCUGGAGUUGUAUUUUUUCUUCUGUAGGAGUUUUGCUGGAAUUUGCUCUUACCAGUCUAGUCGCGUGGACAUGCUAAAUCUGACAGCAGGGUGAUGAGGAUCACCGGUUUUCGCCCACUCCA